rnacentral:rRNA from 1 species
GACGAACGCUGGCGGCGUGCUUAACACAUGCAAGUCGAACGGAAAGGCCCUGCUUUUGUGGGGUGCUCGAGUGGCGAACGGGUGAGUAACACGUGAGUAACCUGCCCUUGACUUUGGGAUAACUUCAGGAAACUGGGGCUAAUACCGGAUAGGAGCGCCUGCUGCAUGGUGGGGGUUGGAAAGUUUCGGCGGUUGGGGAUGGACUCGCGGCUUAUCAGCUUGUUGGUGGGGUAGUGGCUUACCAAGGCUUUGACGGGUAGCCGGCCUGAGAGGGUGACCGGCCACAUUGGGACUGCGAUACGGACCAGACUCCAACGUGAGGCAGCAGUGGGGAAUAUUGCACAAUGGGCGGAAGCCUGAUGCAGUAACGCCGCGUGCGGGAUGACGGCCUUCGGGUUGUAAACCGCUUUCGCCUGUGACGAAGCGUGAGUGACGGUAAUGGGUAAAGAAGCACCGGCUAACUACGUG